UUGAACGCUGGCGGUAUGCUUAAGACAUGCAAGUCGAACGGGGCCCUUCGGGGUUCAGUGGCGGACGGGUGAGUAACACGUGGGAAUCUGCCCAAUAGUGGGGGACAGCCCGGCGAAAGCCGGAUUAAUACCGCAUACGCCCUACGGGGGAAAGGCGCAAGCCGCUAUUGGAUGAGCCCGCGUAAGAUUAGCUAGUUGGUGAGGUAAAGGCCCACCAAGGCAACGAUCUUUAGCUGGUCUGAGAGGAUGGCCAGCCAAAUCGGGACUGAGACACGGCCCGGACUCCUACGGGAGGCAGCAGUCGGGAAUAUUGGACAAUGGGCGCAAGCCUGAUCCAGCAAUACCGCGUGUGUGAAGAAGGCCUGCGGGUUGUAAAGCACUUUCAGUGGGGAAGAUAAUGACGUUACCCACAGAAGGAGCACCGGCUAACUCCGU
rnacentral:rRNA from 1 species